rnacentral:rRNA from 1 species
UACGGGUGGGGCAAGCGUUGCUCGGAAUCACUGGGCGUAAAGCGCACGUAGGCGGCUCUUUAAGUCAGGGGUGAAAUCCUGGAGCUCAACUCCAGAACUGCCUUUGAUACUGAGGAGCUCGAGUCCGGGAGAGGUGAGUGGAACUGCGAGUGUAGAGGUGAAAUUCGUAGAUAUUCGCAAGAACACCAGUGGCGAAGGCGGCUCACUGGCCCGGUACUGACGCUGAGGUGCGAAAGCGUGGGGAGCAAACAGG